rnacentral:rRNA from 1 species
GGACCCGCACAAGCGGUGGAGCAUGUGGUUUAAUUCGAAGCAACGCGAAGAACCUUACCAAGUCUUGACAUCGGAAUGACCGUCCCUUAACAGGGGCUUCCCUUCGGGGCAUUCCAGACAGGUGGUGCAUGGUUGUCGUCAGCUCGUGUCGUGAGAUGUUGGGUUAAGUCCCGCAACGAGCGCAACCCUUAUCCUUAGUAGCCAGCACGUUAUGGUGGGCACUCUGGGGAGACUGCCAGGGAUAACCUGGAGGAAGGUGGGGAUGACGUCAAAUCAUCAUGCCCCUUAUGAUUUGGGCUACACACGUGCUACAAUGGCGUAAACAAAGGGAAGCAAGGGAGUGAUCCGGAGCAAAUCUCAAAAAUAACGUCUCAGUUCGGAUUGUAGUCUGCAACUCGACUACAUGAAGCUGGAAUCGCUAGUAAUCGCGGAUCAGAAUGCCGCGGUGAAUACGUUCCCGGGUCUUGUACACACCGCCCGUCACACCAUGGGAGUUGGUAACGCCCGAAGUCAGUGACCCAACCGUAAGGAGGGAGCUGCCGAAGGCGGGACUGAUAACUGGGGUGAAGUCGUAACAAGGUAGCCGUAUCGGAAGGUGCGGCU